rnacentral:rRNA from 1 species
GGGUCAGUAGGUUGGUCGUGCCACCGGUACGUACUGGUCUCACUGAUUCCUCCUUCCUGAAGAACCGUAAUGCCAUUGAUUGGGUGUUGCGGGGAAACAGGACUGUUACUUUGAAAAAAUUAGAGUGUUUAAAGCAAGCUAACGCUUGAAUACAUUAGCAUGGAAUAAUGAAAUAGGACGAUCGAUCCUAUUUUGUUGGUUUCUAGGAUUGACGUA